GAUGAAGAACGUAGCGAAAUGCGAAAAGUAAUGUGAAUUGCAGAAUUCCGUGAAUCAUUAAAUCUUUGAACGCGAAUUGCACUCCUUGGUAUUCCGAGGAGUACACUUGCUUGAGGGUCAGUUAAAAAAAAAUAUCGUUACAUCUUUUUGGUGUUGCGGAUCUGGGUUAUCCGGUUUUAAGUCGGUUACCUAAAAUUAAAGAUUAUAAUGUGAUACGUACUAAGAUAAAAGUCGUUAAUCAUUAAAACUUAAUAUAUAUAUUACUUCUAAUUUUUUUUUAGUUGGUAGUGUAUAUAAUUUCUGAAAAUGACCUCAAGUCAAGUGAGAGUACCCGCUGAACUUAAGCAUAUCAAUAAGCGGAGGA
rnacentral:misc_RNA from 1 species